UAUUGUGGUAGCUCACAAAAUAUUGGGACAUACAAAAAAAGAAACAUUUGCGGCCUGCGGUGCAUUUCUUGCAGUCCUGAUGCAUUAAGAAAUGCUCAACUCCUGAUGCAUGGAGAAAAGGCCUUCGCAAGCCUCUGUUAAUAUGUACAUAGUUUAUACUAAGUGACCCAUAGGUUGAGGAGGCGGUGACCAUGGCGGUGGAGGAGAAGGAUGAGGUAGCCAACACUGUUUUUUAUAUAUAGUAGCUGUUGACAUUAUAGUUGUGCAGGCACUUUAUUGACUCUAGAGAACAAUGGGCCAAUCACACAUCCCUGUGGCGGUGACUUUGCAUGUGGAUGUCAUCCAUAUCAACAUUCGAUGCCAGUUUUUGCGCCUACCAUGGUGACCACGGGUAAUGGGGAAUCAGGGUUCCAUUCCGUACAGGGACCCUGAGAAACGACUACCACAUGCAAGGAAGGCACCAGGCGUGCAAAUGACCCACUCCUGACGCGGGAAGGUAGUAACGACAAAUAACAAUACAGGACUCAAUAGAGGCCCUGUAAUUGUAAUGAGUCCACUUGAAAUCCUUUAACUCUGAUCAAUUAGAGGGAAGUCUGGUGCAGAGCCACUGACCCAUGCGUGCUGCAGCUGAAA